rnacentral:rRNA from 1 species
UACAGAGGUGGCGAGCGUUGUUCGGAUUUACUGGGCGUAAAGGGUGCGUAGGCGGCUUCGCGUGUCGGAUGUGAAAGCUCACGGCUCAACCGUGGAAUGUCAUCCGAAACUGUGGAGCUAGAGUACAGGAGAGGAGAGCGGAAUUCUCGGUGUAGCGGUGAAAUGCGUAGAUAUCGAGAGGAACGCCGGUGGCGAAGGCGGCUCUCUGGAAUGAUACUGACGCUGAGGCACGAAAGCUGGGGGAGCAAACAGG